CAUGCAAGUCGAACGCUGAAGGCCCAGCUUGCUGGGUUGGAUGAGUGGCGAACGGGUGAGUAACACGUGAGUAACCUGCCCCCUUCUUUGGGAUAACGGUCGGAAACGGCUGCUAAUACCGGGUAUUCACUGUCCUUCGCAUGGGGGGUGGUGGAAAGGUUUUUUCUGGUGGGGGAUGGGCUCGCGGCCUAUCAGCUUGUUGGUGGGGUGAUGGCUUACCAAGGCUUUGACGGGUAACCGGCCUGAGAGGGUGACCGGUCACAUUGGGACUGAGAUACGGCCCAGACUCCUACGGGAGGCAGCAGUGGGGAAUAUUGCACAAUGGGCGAAAGCCUGAUGCAGCGACGCCGCGUGAGGGAUGACGGCCUUCGGGUUGUAAACCUCUUUCGCUCAUGGUCAAGCCGCAACAGUGGUUGUGGUGAGGGUAGUGGGUAAAGAAGCACCGGCUAACUACGUGCCAGCAGCCGCGGUAAUACGUAGGGUGCGAGCGUUGUCCGGAAUUAUUGGGCGUAAAGGGCUUGUAGGCGGUUUGUCGCGUCUGCCGUGAAAUCCUCUGGCUUAACUGGGGGCGUGCGGUGGGUACGGGCAGGCUUGAGUGCGGUAGGGGAGACUGGAACUCCUGGUGUAGCGGUGGAA
rnacentral:rRNA from 1 species